CGUUAACCGUUCCUGAAGUAUUACUACUAAAAUCUUCAUCACCACCACCACUGUCACGACUCCCGGCAGGUGAACAGCGGAUCGCGCACAGUUCGGUUCUCCGCGCGAAGGCGCAGCCGGGCGUGCUCACGGCUGCUGUGCGCGUUCGCACCGCAAGGUGGCGCCGCGAGACACCAAAUGCACUUCCCGAGAAAGCCGUUGAACCCGGAGGCGGAGCGCGGGCACGUUCGGGAAGGCGGGCUGGGAGAAUGAGGAUAUAGUGAGGAACUUUUGUCAUGAAUGGACUCCUGUUGCUAUCUGACGACAUUCACCGGGCUUCGAAGUCAAAACUCGAUGCUUGGGCUUCAGUUAAACCCAGAGUCCGUUACCAGUAAAGGCGAAAGGCGUUUCAUCGGAGUGAUCUGAGCGAUACCCCCUCUCAGGAUUUGAACCCCAAGACCCCCAUAUACAGGAGCCCUGACCCCUGCCGGGCCGCCGUGAUCCACGCCAGAUCCAGGACUGUGGCAGCUGAAGUUAGGAAGCAAGUGUCCCGGGAAUAUGGCUCCCCGCAGCUGUCCAAGAAGCGAAGUGGAACCCAGCAGUCCGUAAGUUGCUAUCUCUCCAUCUCUUCUGUGUGUCCUGAUGACCUCGGACACAUUCAUGGACAAUGGGAUUUAGG
rnacentral:lncRNA from 1 species